rnacentral:tRNA from 1 species
GGUUGUGUAGUGUAGCGGUUAGCAGUAGGUUCUUGUUUUCCCGUGACCCCGGUUCGAAUCCGGGCACGACCU